ensembl:snRNA U6 U6 spliceosomal RNA
CUGUGCUCGAUUCAGCACUAAAAUUGGAACGAUACAGAGAAGAUUAGCAUGGUCCCUGCACAAGGAUGACAUACAAAUUCGAGAAGCAUUCCAUAUUUAA